rnacentral:rRNA from 1 species
UGGGGAAUAUUGGACAAUGGGCGCAAGCCUGAUCCAGCCAUGCCGCGUGAGUGAUGAAGGCCCUAGGGUUGUAAAGCUCUUUCACCGGUGAAGAUAAUGACGGUAACCGGAGAAGAAGCCCCGGCUAACUUCGUGCCAGCAGCCGCGGUAAUACGAAGGGGGCUAGCGUUGUUCGGAUUUACUGGGCGUAAAGCGCACGUAGGCGGACUAUUAAGUCAGGGGUGAAAUCCCGGGGCUCAACCCCGGAACUGCCUUUGAUACUGGUAGUCUUGAGUUCGAGAGAGGUGAGUGGAAUUCCGAGUGUAGAGGUGAAAUUCGUAGAUAUUCGGAGGAACACCAGUGGCGAAGGCGGCUCACUGGCUCGUUACUGACGCUGAGGUGCGAAAGCGUGGGGAGCAAACAGG